rnacentral:lncRNA from 1 species
CAGAGGUGAAAUUGGUAACCCUGGCAGAGAUGGUGCUCGUGUGCUCCUGGUGCUGUAGGUGCCCCUGGUCCUGCUGGAGCCACAGGUGACCGGGCGAAGCUGGGGCUGCUGGUCCUGCUGGUCCUGCUGGUCCUCGGGGAAGCCCUGUGAACGUGGUGAGGUCGGUCCUGCUGGCCCCAAUGGAUUUGCUGGUCCUGCUGUGCUGCUGGUCAACCUGGUGCUAAAGGAGAAAGAGGAGCCAAAGGGCCUAA